rnacentral:lncRNA from 12 species
GUGGAGAGAAGGAACUCUGGCCCCACAGCCAGUUAGGCCCGCGACCCGAGCGACCAGAGGAGGCCCCAGCAGGUCUGGACAUGGGCUUCCUCGGAGUUGGCCAGCCGAGGGGAGAGGCUGAGGGUGGGGUCGGCCAACUUCUUCCGUGCGAUCUGUUUCCUUAUCAGGUCCACCACACCUUUGCUCUCAGGAAGCAGAAGGCCAGGAGGGACCACAGAAGGCAGAUCGAAGGCGGCACAAUCUUUUUGGCUUCCUAUCGGGCAUGAAACCUGAGCGCUCACUGAGACCUCGCUCCUUAAAGUAGCUGUAGCCUUCAUCUUACAAUUGAGCACAAAAUGCCUGCACGUUCAUUGAGCAUCUUUGCAAGAUGCAGGGAAAUAAGCGAUUGCCUCUGGGACGAGAUGCCAAGGAGCUAGGAGCAGGCUGAGAGAGAAGUUUGUUUUUCAGUUUAUACACUUCUGACUUUUGUGACAUGGACUUUUAUUACUUGGUCCAAAAACCCUCCACGUUUCGUGAUUGAUCUAAGCAAGAUCAUUCGGUACCAGAAGGCAAAGACAGGACUCAAACACAGAUCUGCAACCAUGAGCCUGAGUUUGUUCCCUGCAUUACAAGAUGUUACAUAAAUCCAACGUUUUAACCUAAAUCAAUCCACCUGGGCACUGCUGGGACAUAAGAGGUAGCAGAAAUCCAAGGGAAGGCACAGACGCCUGCACCUGCCAUACUGAAGCGACACUCUCGGAUGCCUGCUGGGAUUUGAGCUGCUUUCAAAGGCAGCAAAAUUCUAAGGUUGGAGCACGGUGACACUGCUCUGAGGACUUCCUGAGCUAGUGGGAUGGACAUAGUCCCUGCAGCAAAACAAUCUGGGUCCCCACGCUGUGACCUUGGAGAGGUCAUCCAGCCCCUCUGAACUUUGAUUCCUUCAUCAGGAAAAUGGGGGAAGAUAAUAUUCCCCAUUGUGUGGCUCAGCAUUGUUGUUAGUGUAGCAAACUCCUGAAAGGUGAGGUGUCCGAUCACAGCCAACGUGCUGGGGGGCGACAGCAGGUGGCUGGCUCUCUCUAUCCACAGCAGAACACGAUGACAUCGGCUCUCGGUGGGGACCUGCCAGCGAGGUGGAGCAUGUGACCUCAGGUGCUCCUUCCUCUCUUCCUUCCUUGUACAGUGGGUGGGCUGAGCAGGGUGCUGUCCCAGCCCUGGCGCUCUAGGAUU